rnacentral:rRNA from 1 species
GAUGAACGCUGGCGGCGCGCCUAACACAUGCAAGUCGAACGAGCGAGAGAGAGCUUGCUUUCUCGAGCGAGUGGCGAACGGGUGAGUAACGCGUGGGUAACCUGCCUCACACAGGGGGAUAACAGUUGGAAACGGCUGCUAAUACCGCAUAAGCGCACAGUAUCGCAUGGUACGGUGUGAAAAACUCCGGUGGUGUGAGAUGGACCCGCGUCUGAUUAGCUAGUUGGCAGGGCAACGGCCCACCAAGGCGACGAUCAGUAGCCGACCUGAGAGGGUGACCGGCACAUUGGGACUGAGACACGGCCCAGACUCCUACGGGAGGCAGCAGUGGGGAAUAUUGCACAAUGGAGGAAACUCUGAUGCAGCGACGCCGCGUGAGUGAAGAAGUAGUUCGCUAUGUAAAGCUCUAUCAGCAGGGAAGAUAGUGACGGU